GAUGAACGCUGGCGGCGUGCCUAAUACAUGCAAGUCGAGCGAACAGAUAAGGAGCUUGCUCCUUUGACGUUAGCGGCGGACGGGUGAGUAACACGUGGGUAACCUACCUAUAAGACUGGGAUAACUUCGGGAAACCGGAGCUAAUACCGGAUAAUAUUUCGAACCGCAUGGUUCGAUAGUGAAAGAUGGUUUUGCUAUCACUUAUAGAUGGACCCGCGCCGUAUUAGCUAGUUGGUAAGGUAACGGCUUACCAAGGCGACGAUACGUAGCCGACCUGAGAGGGUGAUAGGCCACACGGGAACUGAGACACGGUCCAGACUCCUACGGGAGGCAGCAGUAGGGAAUCUUACGCAAUGGGCGAAAGCCUGACGGAGCAACGCCGCGUGAGUGAUGAAGGUCUUCGGAUCGUAAAACUCUGUUAUUAGGGAAGAACAUACGUGUAAGUAACUGUGCACGUCUUGACGGUACCUAAUCAGAAAGCCACGGCUAACUACGUG
rnacentral:rRNA from 1 species